rnacentral:rRNA from 1 species
UACAGGGGGGGCAAGCGUUGCUCGGAAUUACUGGGCGUAAAGGGCGCGUAGGCGGCCUGUUAAGUCGAACGUGAAAUCCCCGGGCUCAACCCGGGAACUGCGUCCGAUACUGGAAGGCUUGAAUCCGGGAGAGGGAUGCGGAAUUCCAGGUGUAGCGGUGAAAUGCGUAGAUAUCUGGAGGAACACCGGUGGCGAAGGCGGCGCUCUGGGCCGGUACUGACACUGAGGAGCGAAAGCGUGGGUAGCAAACAGG